CCCACCACCAUUCUUCCCAAUUAAGCAUGUUUCGAAAUAAAAGUUGCUCUAGUUUGGGGAAGUAGGGGGAGAUGCUAGAGCCUAUUUUUCUUUCAUUCCAUCCUAGCACCAGCACUGCCACCCACCAGCGACAAGAAUUCAGACCCGAUGCUCGUGACUGCUGCAGCACCCUUAAUUUUGAGGGCAUCUAGCUGUGGUAGCAUUCCCAAGGGUGGCAUAGAGCACAAUUCUUCAGAACCAGCCAUCGCAGGUUAUGAAGCAAUGACGAGGAGGGUGUCAUCAUCCAACUGGGAAACUCACUGCCGAAGUAGCCACUGAUUGUAAGAGAUUCAAGGCAUUUGCACCAUUCUCUUGAUAUCUUAUUGAUAGCCACUGAUCGAAGACCUCCCCUAUUCUCUUGAUAUCUUCUUCCUCAUGAGCAUUUGCACCAGGCUGCUGCACAUCGGAAGAGCUACUCUGUAGCGUGCAAUACAUUUGUAGCAAGACGAGAUGGGGCUUGGCUUCAAGUGCAGCAGCUCUUGCUUCAGCUCUGUUUGAUAUCCUCUCCA
rnacentral:lncRNA from 1 species